rnacentral:rRNA from 1 species
AACACAUGCAAGUCGAACGCUCUCUGGCAACAGAGGGAGUGGCGGACGGGUGAGUAGCACAUGGGAAUCGACCCACACGUGAGGAAUACCACCGGGAAACCGGUGACAAUACCGCAUACGCUCGAGCAGUCGAGCAAAGCUCUUUUCGGAGGGCGCGCGUGGACGAGCCUGUGUCUGAUUAGUUAGUCGGUGGGGUAAGAGCCUACCAAGACUGCGAUCAGUCGCUGGUCUGAGAGGAUGAUCAGCCACACUGGGAUUGAGAACGGCCCAGACUCCUACGGGGGGCAGCAGUGAGGAAUCUUCGGCAAUGGGGGCAACCCUGACCGAGCAACGCCGCGUGCAGGACGACGGCCUUCGGGUUGUAAACUGCUUUUCUGAGGGACGAGCAAGGACGGUACCUCAGGAAGAAGCUCCGGCUAACUACGUGCCAGCAGCCGCGGUAAUACGUAGGGAGCAAGCGUUGUCCGGAGUUACUGGGCGUAAAGCGCACGCAGGCGGUCAGUCGCGUUCGUGCCGACAGCGACUCGCUUACCGAGUCGAGGCGUACGAAAACGGAGUGACUUGAGGGUCAGAGAGGGACACGGAACUCCGGGUGGGAUGGUGAAAUGCGUUAAGAUCCG